rnacentral:rRNA from 1 species
UACGUAGGGGGCAAGCGUUAUCCGGAUUUACUGGGUGUAAAGGGAGCGUAGACGGUAGUGCAAGUCUGGAGUGAAAGGCGGGGGCCCAACCCCCGGACUGCUCUGGAAACUGUGCGACUAGAGUGCAGGAGAGGUAAGUGGAAUUCCUAGUGUAGCGGUGAAAUGCGUAGAUAUUAGGAGGAACACCAGAGGCGAAGGCGGCUUACUGGACUGUAACUGACGUUGAGGCUCGAAAGCGUGGGGAGCAAACAGG